UCGCCAGUUCUGCUUACCAAUUUGGUAGGUAUGGACUUCUUAGAGGGACUUUCAGUGACUAACUGAAGGAAGUUGGAGGCAAUAACAGGUCUGUGAUGCCCUUAGAUGUUCUGGGCCGCACGCGCGCUACACUGAUACGCUCAACGAGUAUAUAACCUUGAUCGAUAGGUCUGGGUAAUCUUUUGAAUACGUAUCGUGCUAGGGAUAGAUUAUUGCAAUUAUUAAUCUUGAACGAGGAAUUCCUAGUAAACGCAAGUCAUCAGCUUGCAUUGAUUACGUCCCUGCCCUUUGUACACACCGCCCGUCGCACCUACCGAUUGAAUGACUCGGUGAAGUAUUGGGACUGCGAAUUUGUUUGCUUCAUUGCAUUCAAGUAUUUGUGGAAACUUUCCUUAACCUCGCCAUUAGAGAAGGGCGACGAACGGAC
rnacentral:rRNA from 1 species